rnacentral:rRNA from 1 species
AUUGAACGCUGGCGGCAUGCUUUACACAUGCAAGUCGAGCGGUAACAGGCCUUCGGGUGCUGACGAGUGGCGAACGGGUGAGUAAUGCAUCGGAACGUACCCAGAGGUGGGGGAUAACGCAGCGAAAGCUGUGCUAAUACCGCAUGUGAUCUGAGGAUGAAAGCGGGGGACCGAGCAGCAAUGUUUGGCCUCGCGCCUUUGGAGCGGCCGAUGUCGGAUUAGCUAGUUGGUGGGGUAAAGGCCUACCAAGGCGACGAUCCGUAGCUGGUCUGAGAGGACGGCCGGCCACACGGGGACUGAGACACGGCCCAGACUCCUACGGGAGGCAGCAGUGGGGAAUUUUGGACAAUGGGCGCAAGCCUGAUCCAGCAAUGCCGCGUGCGGGAAGAAGGCCUUCGGGUUGUAAACCGCUUUUGGCAGGAACGAAACGGUGUCCGCUAAUACCGGGCGCUAAUGACGGUACCUGCAGAAUAAGCACCGGCUAACUACGUG